UCCUGAGUAGCUGGGAUUACAGGCGUAUACCACCAAGCUCAGCUCAGUUUGGUAUUUUUAGUAGAGAUGGGAUUUCGCCAUGUUGGCCUGGCUGGUCUCUAACUCCUGACCUCAGGUGAUCCACCCGCCCCGGCCUCCCAAACUGUUGGGAUUACAGG